UUGUAUUAAAAGCUUCAAAGGUCCACCGCUAUACUAUCAUCUCUUAUCUCCUCAACUACCUCCAUCAACCGCGAGAUGGAAGCGACGCCGCUGCUUGAUCGGAGCUCCGACAACAAGGUACAGGUCAUCGGAGAGAACGGUGACUACCUGCCGAUAAGGGGGCUUAGUGCAUGGUGGAGUGUUUUCUGUAUAGAGACAGUGAAGCUAUGGAGAAUAGGCGGCCCCAUAGUGUUUCAAGUUCUUUGUCAGUAUGGAACUUACUCCGUCACCAACAUGUUUGUUGGCCAUCUUGGAGAUAUCGAACUCUCUGCCUUUUCCAUCACUCUUUCCGUUAUCUGCACCUUCUCUUUUGGCCUCCUGGUUAGCCCCUUCACACCACCGCCACCGCCACCACCACCGCCACCUAUUAUAUCUCAAUUUUGGUUUUAAAUUAAAAAAUUACGAAUAAUUUAUUUGUCAUUGACGAAUGUCCGUCUACAUACUUAAUAAUUUUUCACAUUAAAUGCACGAAAUCUGGGUGGUUCAUUUUCUAUCAUUAUAUUAGUCUUUGGAUUGGGUAGCAUAAUAGUCAGAUUUAUCGCUCCAGCUAGCUAGACAUGUUGCUAGAAAAAUGAUUGUUGGCAAUGAAUUUGAAAUAAAUUCCGUAACUGCGUUGGCAGAUACAUUAUGAAACUUUAAUGCCAUUUAGCCCCACUUGGUUUGCUAUCCCAGUUCAAGCAGCUUUAAUUAAAUGACUCAUUUAAUUUUACUUUUCCUUUAGCCUUAUCUUCUAGCACUACUUAGACUGGAUUGCAACCUCAAUGGCUACAUAGCAUUACUCUUCUUGAAAACUGAUAUUCUUUAAGAUACAAGUCUGAAAGGAUUUUGUAUAAGUUCCUUGUAAUUGUGUAAUCUGUUUUAUUUAAGAUACGUACAAGUCUAACUAAUUAGUCUAGUUCAUCCUAAAUAAUCUUGAAGCCGAAGAUCUGAUUAAAAAAACGUUUCAAACCCCUUAAAUGAAACAAUUCAAGUUUUCUGAAUUUGUUCUUGUGACAUAGACAAUACAUUUCGUAGGAUUCAAGACUACUACUACCAAUUUACUGUUUACACAUUAUGUAGGAUCCACAAUUUAUAAUCACUUAGAUCUAAUUUGAGCACUCCCAAGUAUGGUUAAACAGCGAUCUAAUAUGACUUCACAAAUGGCACCUUAUUUUGCUAUGUCUAGUUCGGUAUGGGGAGUGCCCUUGAGACGCUAUGCGGUCAGGCAUUUGGUGCUGGACAAAUUCACAUGCUUGGUAUUUACAUGCAACGCUCGAUAGUGAUCCUAACCAUCACUUGUGUCGUCCUGUUGCCACUAUACUUGUUUGCGACCCCAAUUCUGAAGCUACUUGGACAGGAGGAUGAUAUAGCAAAUCUUGCAGGGGUAUAUACGCUUCAGGUUAUCCCUCAAUUAUUUUCCCUUGCCAUCAGUUUCCCGGCUCAGAAGUUUCUUCAAGCCCAGAGUAAAGUUGCCGCUCUUGCGUGGAUAUCAUUUUCUGUAUUGGCUGCACAAGUUUUUCUAUGUUGGCUUUUUAUUCAAGCAUUUGGCUGGGGAGGAGCUGGUGCGGCUGCAGCAUUGGACCUUGCGAGUUGGCUUAUGGCCUUAGCACAAUUUGGUUAUGUGGUUGGUUGGUGCAAGGAUGGUUGGAAGGGAUUCUCAUGGUUCGCAUUUAGGGAUUUAUGGGCCUUCGUGAGACUCUCCCUUGAAUCUGCCGUCAUGCUAUGCCUCGAGGUGUGGUAUAUGAUGAGCAUCGUUGUACUUGCUGGACAUCUUGGCAAUGCCGUAACUGCAGUUGGUUCCCUUUCUAUUUGGUGAGCUUAAAUCAUAUUUUACAUCCUUCUAUAUAUCGUAGUGAUUUAAAAAUUGUGGAUUUCAUAUUUUGUGAGCUUUGUAAAAUGAGCUAUCAAUUUAAGUUAUUCAUCACUUUGAUAGCUUAUUUAUCAUUAAUAAUUCAAGGCAUAUAAAUCUACGAGAUCUAUCAUUGUUAUUUGACAAGUCACUUGAAUUUGUACUAAUCAUUUACCAUUUCAUCGUUUGUGAAAUUGUAAUCUUAUGUACUCCAAGCCUUAUCUUUUGUAUUAUCAUUUUCUUUUAAGAUGCUAAUAUUUUCUUUUGGUCAGCACGAGCAUUAAUGGGUGGGAAUCCAUGGCAUUCAUGGGAGUUAAUGCNGCUAUAAGGUAAAAGGCCAAAUGACGCUUAUCGAUACUUUUUUUACUUUGUUUUAAAUAAGCUAGAUUAUAACUUGAAUCGAAUGCAGUCGUCUUCUAGUAAUUUCCAUCCAUCGCCCUGUGCAUCUAUAUUGCCAGCACACAGAUACAUUUUUCACUUAAGAACAAUUUCUUCGAAAAAACAUUGUGCCCGGGAAAUGUUGUAUGUCCAAAUUAAUGGAACCUUAUGGAAAAUCGAAUUCAGCGUGCUUAAUGAAAAUUCAUUAAUAUUUCUUGGUCCUAAUUGAUUGAAGUAUCCAGGCAGGUUAGAGGACUAUUUGUGUUUAUCACGUUCAUAUGGUCAAAUGAUAUCUGUUAGUGAAUAGCUCUGCUUUUAACACUAGUUUGAUAAGUGAUUACAUAGCAUGAACUGCGAUUUAAGGUUAUCUUCCAACACAAAUUCAACUCAAAUGCUCCUCAUAAUAAAUUGCUGGAGGGUUCAUAAGUUUUAGAUCAUUCUAUUGUUUAUCGGGUUGCCAUAAGGGUUAAUGUUUUAUUUUUUUAUUACUAUUAUUAUUUUUUUAAAUUACUAGCCAUAUCAAUUUCAUGGUUCCAAUCUUUUAUGUUCCAGUGUUCGUGUCUCAAAUGAGCUUGGCUUAGGACGUCCAAGAGCAACCAAAUAUUGUGUCUAUGUCACAGUCUUUCAGUCACUCCUGAUUGGGAUUAUUUGCAUGAUUAUCGUCCUCGCUACAAGAAAUUAUUUAGGUCUUAUUUAUACAAAUAGCGAGAAUUUGAUACGUGCAGUUGCUCACCUUUCCGGCCUUCUUGGAAUUACAAUGCUUCUCAAUAGUGUCCAACCCGUGAUAUCAGGUACUGGUUAUUCGAUUUAAGUAUUUGUCUAUGCAAAUCAAAAUGGCUUUUUCAUCAUGUUUCCUUGAUCUUCCGGCUUAAUUAUGCAGGUGUUGCCAUUGGAGGUGGGUGGCAAGCUCUAGUGGCUUACAUCAAUUUGGGUUGUUACUACAUUUUUGGUCUUCCCCUCGGUUAUGUUCUUGGCUAUGUCGGUAAUUUUGGAGUGAUGGUAAGUAAAUUUUUACUUGAACCUCCAUAUUAUGCGAAUUUGCAUUUUAAACGAUUCUGGAUAUAAUUAGAACAAGAUAAUAGUGGCCUGAUUCUAUAAAAGCAUAACUUUUCCUCCGAAUCCAGCCUGUCAUCAAUCAUAAACUAACAGCCGGAACACCCCCUCAUCAAAAAAAUAAAUAAAUCUUAUUUAGUCUCCUACGUCAAAUUUCAACUUCAUUUAUAUUUGAAUUCUUUUUUGAGGAAAAUGCUGGAGUAACCGAAAUUUUUUUACUGAAGGGAUGACACUAUCUCACAUGCUGUUGGUCCCACAUAAAUUAAAAAAAUAAUUUCCACCCCUGUUCUUUCAUGGCCUCUGUCGGGCCAUAUGUUAGUGUAGAAAAGUCCAAUGAUUUAGUUUUCUUUAUAGGGACUCUGGGGUGGCAUGAUAGCCGGAGUAGGUUUGCAGACGCUGUUGCUCUUACUGGUACUGUACAAAACCAACUGGAACACGGAGGUUCGUAUUAAUGGUUUCUCUACAUUGCUCAUUUGUAGGAUGUGUACGGAUUUUAAGUGGCUUUUUGUAACGUGUUGGAUAAUUUUCUUUUUUAUAACUUAUAAGGUAAAAAAGGUCCCUCAACCUUACUGUUUGGAUAAACUUCUCUCAUUUCCAAUCGAUUAAAGUUGUUUUAAAACUUAAAAGUAAUACUUAACCAAAAAAACUCCUAAUACGUCGAGUAAAUGUUUCUUUUACUUGUCGAUGAUGAUGUUUAAAUUUGUAUGUGCGCACUCCUGGCAUGAUUUUCCAUUAUAGGAAGAUUUCUUUCAUGGGUUAUUUUGCAAUUCUUAGUUUCGUAGUUCCAUUUUGAUCAAUGUAUUAUCUUACCAACUACAAAUUGCAGGUUGAGCAAACAUCAGAGCGUAUGCGAAAGUGGGGAGGGCAAGACGUAAUUGACAAAUCACAUACUGACCAACUUCCUUCAAAAAAUGGAAUUCCUUAAUUGCACGCUUGGUCGCAUCACUGGCUAUGAUAUGACCAUAUAAUAAAUAAAGAUUUUUUUACUCCAACACAACGAUGCUUGAUGUUUUAAGAGAUUGGUUGCUCGUAUGUUUAAAUUUCGUUAUUGUAAUUUUGUGCUCAUUAGCCUGUGUUUCAUUUUCGAUUAUUUUAAGAAAGGUGAUUUUUUUUGGCAAGCAAAAGUGGUGAUUAAAAUGAAUAAAAUAAAUGUGGGUGACAGAUUAAUAAUGUCUUAAUGGUAUCUAUCCACCAAUUUCAUUGUCCAUCAUAACCUGGUCAAAACGCCGAUUGGCUAUCAAGUAUGAUGCACGGGAAUAAAAUCUGCAUUGAAACUUUGCUAAUGCAUAAUAGUGCAAUGGCAAGGGUGAAAAUGAUAUUUAACCCGCAUGAAUGAUGGCUUGUUAAGUUAAAACGUUUGAAUUGUGGCACUCGAUUCGAAGUAUAGGAUUUUACGGAAAAUCUAAUUAGCAUUAAGACAAAACAGGGACUUAUUGUUAAACUAAGGUCAGGAUUCAUCUGUUGGUUAAUGAAAAAUGUAAUUUGUGCACUUAUUUGAGUCAUAUUACUAAAUUUUUAUGUCGUCAAAUUAUUAAUUUUUUUUUAACUUGGAUUAAUUUUUUUUUUUUUUUUCUUUAAUGAUGAAUUCGUUUGAAGCAAUUGGUAAGGAAGAAGAACUUAAGUGCAAUAUUUUAAAAGAAUGGAGGGCUUGAAGAAAAAUAUAAAUUCAAUGGGCCUAAUUUUUGGACUUAUAGUUGGAUUCAAAUUCCUAAUUCAACAUUACGAAGUGGGCUGGAAUUUGACUUCAAACCGGUUGGCUGGGAAUUAAUACAUACUUACACACACAGAAACGGAAAGAGAGGGAGACGGAAAUUGGGCUGGAAACUGGAGAAGAAUUGGAAUUUGUUUUGCAGUCAAACAUUGAUACAAAAACAAGGGCUUCCUGCCGGAUUGAUAUAAAUAUAUAUAGACCGCUGCCUUUAGAAAAAAGGAGAGACAGAAACUGAGGGAGAAGAGGGCUGCUGGCUGCUGAAUUAUUUAUAUAUACAUACAUAGGCGGCUGGAAUUGGAUGUACAGCGCACGCAUAAAGAAACCGGGAGAGAGACGCCAACAUUGAGGAAAGAAAAGGAUAGAUAUACGUGACUUGCGGCGGAAGUGAUUAAAAUAUACACACAAAAAGCAAAGGGCUGCCAGGUUUUGGACACAGAAACACACAAGAAUUUGGUUGCCGCGGAAUUUCCUAGGAGGAAAAAUCAUAGAUACAUUCAUACAAUAUUGCGACUGCUUUGAAAAAGGAAUAGCCCAAGUGAAAAAUAUAGCCGUUAUGAGGUUCGCACAAGAGAGAGAAAAUUAAAUAUAUUUGCUUAGUGUGAUAGAUAACGGUUAUAUUUUUUAUUUUUUUGGUCAAAAAAUGAAAAACAAACGGGCUGUAGAAGUCUAGAAAAAUUGUGGAAUUAAUCACGUUUGGUUAAAUUUUAGUGAUGUCUUUCCACCUUGAUUUGUUUAAUUCUAACAUUGUGUUAGGCUAAUUCUUAUCAUGUAUUGGAUGGAGAUGAAAAACGUUUAUUAUUUAUUUUUAAUUCAAGACAUGUAGUUUAGUUGAAUUAUUGAAAUUUUUUAUUAAUAUUGCAUGCUUAGUUUAAUUAUUUGAAUCCUUGAUCACCAAUUUAAUAUAUGGCUGUUUGUUGUAGUGUUGAAAGGCUCACAAUAGGUUGAGAACACUGCCUGAUUAAAUGUGCAAUAAAUUUUAGGAACAAUAUUUAUUACGUGUGCAAUUUUUGAGAUAAAUAUGAAAUUGAAUGCAUUCUAUUCAUUUGAAUUCGAACUAGAAGUAGAUUCGAGUCAUCACUAUGAUAGAUUUAAUUUGUAUUGAAAAAGAAAUUUAAUUACAAUAGAAUUAUCAAUUGUUAAUAAUGCCAGAACGAAACUCGCUACAUAAUUGAAAAUUGAAAUAGAUAAUAAUUGGUGGAUUCGUAAUCCAAUACACUCAUCCCAUCAAACUUGAAUUUUACAAAUUUUAGUAAAUUAAUUUAGAAUAACUAAAUAUCACUAUUUACUUUGAAUCUAAUUAAGAAUUAGUACAUUCUAUUAAAUUUUAUUCCUUGUGUAACGAUACAAGUUACUCAUCACGUAUUACUUAUCAACGAUCUUGUACACUUGUAAGUUUCCCACGAACAGAUAAUUUGUUGUUGCAAUUAAAUGCGAAAAUUCAAAUUCACAAGAACCUUUUUGUUUUUUCACAUGUUUUAUUUUGCAAGAAUCAAGUACUUCAACGAUUUAUGGGAUGAUAGUUAAGAGUAUAACGGGCUGAUCUGUCCUAGCCCAAAAAGAAAAUCUACCAUAGAAACAGGUCCAAGUAAAGCCCAAUAUGUGCCAAUCAUCGGCCAUGACAUUGAUUUAAGAUUUAUUAGGCCUAUAUACAGCACUUGAACGAUAUCUAUUCUUCCGGCCUAAGACUCCAACCUCGACCCGGCAUGCAUGGCGGCCCAAGGUUCAAUCCCAGUUAUAUGUAUAUCUAAAGGUUGAACCCCAACCUUGAGGGCCUUACCGCCCCGCUCCUAAAGCUUUGUGAGGGAGGUAAAUCAAGAUGUGCCCCAACAGAUCAGGGAACAAGAGCUGCUUGUACACUGCGCUUACAAAGAGUCCAAUUUUAUAUUUCAGGAAUCGAACACUCACAUUGCGACUGCCAGCAAAGCGUGAGAUAAUCUCACUCCUAUCCUUUGCACUACUAGGCUAUACCCCCGGGAGCCAGUUAUAUGUAUAUCUUUUCAGAUUAAUAGAUGGUAACUUUCUAAUGUUGGCAUGAAGUUCUUAAAUGACUGAAUGGACGGUUAUACGAUGAGAAUGACCUCACUCCUGUCCUUUCCACUACUAAACUAUGUCCCGGGAGGCCAGUCAGAUGUAUAUCUUUUCAGAUUAAUAGAUGGUAACUUUCUAAUGUUGGCAUGACGUUCUUAAAUGACUGAACGGACGGUUAUACGAUGAGAAUGACCAAAAUUUAGACGUCAACAUUGUAAAUGAUAUAAUACGAUAAUGGACUCUUCACGGAUUAAUUCUAUAUUUCAUUUAAAAUCUACGGUAUAUUUUAAUAACGAUUUUUUAUUAUACUUCAAGACCACUUCUUCCACAUUAGGAAUUUAUUUUACUGCUUCCUCUCUUCACAAAAUAUUAAUAGUAUAAGUUCGUAUUUCAAAUUAUCCGAGUUAUAUAAAACCAAAUGUUUAUGAAGGGGAAAUUGGCUCAAACGGUUCCAAAUCUUUGCUCAUUUUUCAUUUUUGCCCCCAAAUCUUUAUUUUGACAUUUACAUCCCAAACCAGUGCCAUUAGGUGCGUAGUUGUCAUUUCGGAUAGAUUUCGUUCGAAAGAGCCGUCAAUAAUGCGCGUGGAUGUGGACUACGCUUCUCUUAAGGAUAAAUUGUGUUUUGUAGUUCCAAUUCCAACGAAAGUAGCAAUUACGUAAUGCCUAGAAAAUCCAUCAUAUCACUGUAUCCAUUUAUUUAAGUCACAAAGAGAUCCAAGUGACAUCAAAUAGAAUUUUAUUUAAGUUGGCACUGAAACUAGCGAGAACCAAACAAGAUUAUUAAAUUUAUUUCGCAUAAGCAUCGAGGCUUCGACCAUUGUAUUUAACAUUUCGUCGAUUCUUCAAUUCACAACAUGCAUUUCGAAGUACGAUGCGAGUCCUUAAAAGCAAUGCUUAAAGCUCCUCCCUGACAAUGAAGAAUCGUAGUUUUAAAAAUGCAAAAAGUUGGGAUUUGAUUGGUGAAUCAAUUCGAAAAACCAUCUUUGCAUUGUCAUUGUCAUCCGAUUUUACGAGUCAUAAGACAUGCUUGUGAGUACUAGGAGAUAGUGUCAAGAAUCUUUUCUUGAGUUUAGAGAUUUAUAGUCCGAAAUUGAAUCCCAAAAUGAGAAAUUAGAAGAAAAAAUGCUGGAACUCCCGGGAUUGGCUCCCGGGGCCGAGGUGGCGUGGCAUCGACCCUUAUUUUGAAUUCGACGGGCCCCAUGUGAUGCAAGAUCGAGAGUCGAGGUGUUGCCACCUCGCCCUGGAGCCAAACCCGAGAUUUAAUCCCGGGCUCUGAAGCUUCUAUGAAAUUAGAAGGACGACAACUUAUUACCGUUAACGGGGGCCCACUGUGGAUCUGAUCUAUGUUUUAGCAUUACAUUAGCUAAAUGGAUUGUGAAGUCCGCCUCGUAGAAUCAAAUUGAGUAACAUUAUUUGUCAUUAUUAUGAACAUAAUCAUGUGUAGAUGAUACUAAAUGAUAUGUUCGAUUAAUAUGAGUUUAAUGUCAUGUUAAUCGACAAUGAUAGAUCAAUGAUUAGAAAUAACAUUAUUUUUUUUCAAAAUUUUCAGCGAUAUAAGAGUCCACCCAUCAUCCUUUCAUUGAUAAAAAUUCGAACUCAUUGUUGGAAUGCGGAAGUAGAAUUAAUCAGAAAUUAAAAUUUCUUUAAUUCAAAAACAAGAUCGUUUAGAUGUUCACGUGUAUGUUAUAACAAGAAUUAAAGGAUUUGAAUAUUUUACCCAAAUUCGAUGAUCCACCUUUGAAUUGAUUCUGAACCACGAACUUUCGUCUCUUUCAAUUGCAAGAAUCUUGGUGCUUCAAACCUUCAAGCCUUCUAUGGUAUUCUCCAACGAAAAAACUACACCGGCGUGUGGGCACCUUCUUUUAAUUAAUCAAGAAACUAAUUCUUGAAAUUGGAAAUCAAGAAAUAAAAUAUUUCUCUCUCUAAAUUUGAAUUCUAUGGAAUUAUAAUUGUUGUAGUUGUUUUUUUUUUUUUUUUUUCCAUUCAUCUAGUCUCUAUUUAUAGAGAAAAAGAUGGUACAAUCCUGGUACAAUUACAAUUCCAUAUUCAAAUAGGAUUCCUAAUUAAAACUCAAGAGGAGUUCUAAUUUAAGUCCAAUUCCAAUUAGUUUACAUUAAUUAUAUGUGUAGUCCUAGAACUUCAAUUACAAUUACAAUUAAGUUUAUAACUUUCAUAGUAAUUACAAUUAAGUACAAAACUUUAUUGUAAUUAUAAUUAAGCUCAAAACUAUUAUAAUUACCGUAAUUAAGUUCCAAUACUUUAUGGAGCUACCACAGGGACCUGAUCGGACAUAUAUUAUCCAAGCUCCAAUAAUUAGAUCAUGUCUAGUCGACCCUAGAGCAUCCAAUCUAAUUAUUAAUCUUUGCUUUUUCCACUAAAGGCAAAAGACUGAAUUCUUGGAAUAUAUAAGAUCACAGAAGCCAUUAAAUCUGUAAUACUUUUCUCUAACCUGCUGUAUAUGUAUUUUAUCCCCGUUCGAGAUCCGAUAAUUAGGUACGAGCAUAAAUGACCGUUUUGCCCCUCUAAUUAUUCUCACUAACUUAAAUUUCAUUUUCUUCAACGGUCCUAUGAACUAAUCACAGAUGUCGAAGUUUAGCCGUUGCUAAACACUGAGCUCAGAUUUUAACCGUUCAACAAAAAAUACUUAAGUAGUCACUCUACCCAUCUGGGCAACGGUUCCCGACACGAAUUCAUGUUCUCUACUCCGCUCAUUCUCAAGUUCCCAACUCAUCGAGAUAUUUGACCAAUCAAAUUGAUCUCACCCAUUGAUGAAUCAAAGAACAAUUAAAAUUACGAAAAGAUAUACAUAAUCCUGUCAAGGGAUUUAGAUGAAAUACACAGCGGUCUAGUGAAAUUUAAUUCUCCGCACGGUCAUGCUAUAGAAUUAAAUUCAACACGUGGUCCGUUCAAUACACUCCAAGUGUACUAGUGUCACCUUUUACUAUUUCUGUGAUAAGGACAAAUCACAAACCCGAAUAGUGAAUUGGUCAACACUACAACCUUCCAAUAUAAGGUGCCAACCCUUAUACGUAGAUUGUGAACAAAUUAUUUAUGAUCAAAAUAUAAAUUGUGUCACACUGUACUUCUCAACGCAAGUACUCAACUCAUAUUAUCACAAGUGAUCAUAGGCACUUUAACUUCGUAUGCUCAAUAAUAAAUAAAUGCAAAAAAUAAAUUAAACAUAAUUUUAUUCAAUAAAAAUAUUGUUAUUUUUUUAUAUCAGCAAAACUAUACUAUAUGGGCACACAACCCAACACUCAUAGCCUACAAUGUAUAUGUAUUUCAGCAGUGAACUUAUUUUGUUUACUAUGAAAGCAAAAUGAGCAUUUUACACCACAAUAAACCCCCAGCCUUCAAUCUUCUCUUCUAUUCAACAAACUAUUAUUUUAGCGAGGAAGAAGACGCUGUCAAGGAAAAGAAGUAGGGAUGACAAAAAAUCCAUUCAAUUCGACCCGAUAUCCGUGGACCCUACCCCGAAUGGCGUGAGGAUUACCCGCCUAACCGAAUAAAUAGGACGGGGCAGAGGUCGUUGCCUUGAAGCGAGUAUGGGAAACAUAGUCUCCGUCUCGUUACCCAUCUUGUUUAAAGUUAAUUUCAAAUUUAAGUUUUUAUUAAAUAAAAAUAAAACAUUUAUCAUGACUUUUAAAUAGAACAUGAAUUGUUCUUAAAAAAAGGGAAAGAAGGUAAUAAUUUUCACUAACUAAAGACAUAAAAAAAUAAAAGUAAAAAAUAAAAUAAAUAAAAAAUAAACAGGGCAGGGGCCUACCUCGCUUUAACCGAGUAUGUGGGUAGGAUAAGGUAACAAAAAUAUCCGACGAGAGGGGUGUGGGAAUGGCCCACCCGUCCCGUAUCCACCUUAUUGCCAUCUCUAAAUGAAAGUGAUAAUCAUUGCAGGUAUGCUUCGUAUGCCUUUCAUGUUCAUUCUUGAUUCAAAAUCCAGCUAAUAGAUUGAAAAAAAAAAAAAAAAAAAAACUCAUAGAUGGUAUUUUGAAGUUAUGUGAACAUUUGGGUAUAAUGAUAUAUUGGACUAGAUAAACUCUAAACUAGUCACUUUUUUUAAUUCGAAGCAAUUUUACAUACCACAUGUGUCCAAUAUUCUUGGUGUACGUAGAUAAGUAAUAUCAAUAGCUAAUUUCCAUCGACAAAAUCAUUGGUUUCAAAAGGUGCUAAUUUGGAUCAAGAAAUUGAGACGAGCGACAAAAUGUGAUAAAACCAAAGAAGCAUGUUUUGGGAAUCAAAUAUAACCCACAAGUUAUGUGAAAUUGCAUCAAUGGUCCACAACUAAACCAUAAUAUGAGAAAAACUACUAGAAAAUAAAUAUAUAACGAGAACAAGAAAGAACAUAAUUUAAAAAAUAAAGAUAACCAUAAUUUAUCUUCACCACACCUGUAUCUCAUCUUCAUCAAUAACACGUAUAAGGAAAAUUGUACUAAAAAUCUCCAAUCUUUGUCGAAUGCACGAUAGCAAACCCAAACCUUCAAUUCUUGAAAUGAUAAUUAUCGAAAAAGAGAAUUGCUAAUCGCUAUAACAUUUUUUUUAUUUGCAAUAUGAUUUUAAGCUUUAUAUAUUUCUUGUUAUUUUAGAAAUAAUUUAUUUGAAUUUAGAAUAUUUUAGUCCAUCCACAAAAUUAUGACUAUAAGGACCAAAAAUAAAUAGAUGCAUGAUUGCGAAAUUGAACGAUAUCAACAAUUAAUUGUACUUUUUAUCAAUCGUUGUGCCCUUAUUUGAUGAAAACCAAUAAUUAACUUAAUUGACUCAAACUUGUCCUUAAAAUUAUUAUAUUAAUGAGAUAAUUAUCAACAACAUUCUCUCAAUAUUUCAUAUUUAAAUGUAACAAUUUUUAACACCAUAAUUAUUUAUUUUAUCUUUUGUUUUCCAUGCACAAUCCUCCAAUAUUACUAGAAAUAGAAAUAAAUGAUCAUUUUUAUUUGUAAUUCUAUUAAAUUUUGUUUAGUGUAUUGUGCAUAUAAGUUAAAGUCAAAAAUUAUUUUUAAACCAUACAUUUUAUGAAACUUGCAAUUUUACAACCAUACUCUUUUUUUUUUUUUGCAUCAAUUAAAUAUGAUUUUUAUCGAAACUGAAAGGGAGCAUAAUAACAUAAUAAAAAUCUUGGUUAUAUCCUAACAAUUUUAGGAGAUUGUUUUGAAAAUCUCAUUUUGAAAUAGUUAAAUAUUAACAAUUUUUAGAAGACAAGUCGUAGGUGAAUGUAAAUUGCACAUUAUUCUGAAAUAUAUUAUAAGUGCUGUAAAAGUACGUGUACAUGAACUUGAAGAAUUAAUUUGCACCGUUUUGAUCUAAAUCUGAGAGAAAUGCAAGCCCUUGAAAAUAAAUAUUAAUUAUUGUACACGUACUUAAAUAGUGAAAUGUGUAAUUGAAUGUUAAAUACCUAUUAAAAAGUACAAUAUUGUCGAUAAUUAUUUAUAUGCACGUGAUCUUGAAAAUUAUCUUAGACAAAAGUGCGUGUACGUAAACUUGGAUAAUAAAUUUAUAUCACGGAUUAAAUAAAUAAUCUUGAAAAUAAAUAAGUGUACAUGAAUAUGAAUAAUUUAUUUAUUACUAGAGUAAUUGAAUAGCCCCCAAAAUAUAUAAAAUGUACAUGAACUUGAAGAAUUAAUUUGCACACUUUUGGUCUAAACAUGAGAAAAAUGCAAAUUCCUAAAAAUAAAUGUUAAUUAUUAUACAUGCACGUAAAUAGUGAAAUGCAUAAUCGAAUGUUAAAUACAUGUUGAAGAACGGAAUGUAAAGUAUUAUUGAAAUAAUUGAAUUAUAAUAAGGUUAGAAUCGUCCAAAAAUUGAUACUCAAUUGAUGUGAUAAUUAAUAUAUUAUAGAUUGUUUUAAAAGCCUCUUUUCAUGGAAACUUAAGAACUAGAUAACGUUAUUUAAAUACUAUAUUCUUAUUAAUUAGAGUACCCAAUGAAAUACAUUAAGGUACAUGCACACAUUAAUAAUAUCAAUUAGGCUAGUAAAAAUACGAUAACUGUUCAGUCCCACAACACAACUUUUACAGAGUCCAGUAUAAGUACUAGCAAAUCUAGCCCCUGUUUGGUGUUGAUUUAAUCAGAUUUUAAUUUAAGUUAAAGUCAAACAAUCAAUAUUAAUCACAUCUUUUAUAGGUCCCACAAUUUUUCAACCACAAAUUUCAAAAACUUUUCUCACAAUUUACUAAAAAUCUAAUUUUAGUCCCUACCAAGCAGGGGUCUAAGUAAAAUCGUGUCGAGAAGCUAGCCUUACUUGAAUAAUUUCGAGCAAUCUAGACAUGUCUAUUAGCAAAAGUUUUAAAUAUUAAUUUUUAUACAACUUAAAAAAUCUCAUGUAAAAUAAUUUUACACUUGUACUAUACCUUGAAAAAAAAGUAGUAUUGCCAGGCCGAUUGAAUAUCGAGCCAUGUCAAGUUGGCAAAAACGUCAAGUUCUAAAUUAUGUGGAUACAUAAGAUGUAUCUCAAUACCUUUAUUACUACAUUAGUUGUUUCUUAAACAAAACAAAACAUGAGUAAACAUCAUCACAAAUAUUGAUCGAAGGUUACACUAUGCUGUCUACCCAUACAUAAGAGCUGUAUACCAUUAUAUUCCCCUCAAUUGCGAGGGGCUCACAAUUAUUUUAUUCAUGUGGGCCCCCUCAACAUGUGAGGGUCUGUAACUUUUUUUUUAUAACAUAAAAUUAGCCUUCAAUUUGAACAAAACAACGAAGGAGAAUAGAAACAAAUGUGUAGAAGUUGUCAGUUUCUGGUGUAUCUGAGGAGCGUAAGGUGCUCUGUACCUUUCACCUAACGUGUGGUUAGUUGUUGACGGAGAGGGUCGAUGAUCUGGGACGAGAGUUGACGGAGAGGGUCGAUGAUCUGGGACGAGAGUUGACAGCGAGGGUCGACGAUCUGGCAGGGAAGGUCGACUAUCUGACAGGGAGGGUUGACGAUCUAUCCCAUGAUGUUGGAAUACUACAGUCUUCCGUUGUCGACCUUCAGGAUAUAGUAGCGGCGCUUAGAGAAGAUUUAGCCGGCAGAUGAUGGGGGGACAGAGGGGAUGGCAGAGAUCAUGAUCGAGAGGGUGGCAGAGAUGGUGAUGGAGAGGGGGGUCACCCACAUUUUUGGCGUGAUGAGACAUUGGAGUCAUUGUGGUUGUCUAUGGAGGGGGUGGCCCCGAUGGGGAUGGGAGAGGGGACUACGGAGGGGGUGGCCCCGACGGAGGGACGGAGGAGGGGGAGGCCCCGAUGGGGGGGCGGAGGAGGUGGCCCCGGAGGUUGAGAGGACGCCCGACGUGAUUGAGGGUAAGAGACAUGUUGUUGACGAGACGGAGAAGGUGGUCGGCAAGAGGUUGAGAGUGCCGUCAUAGUAUGGUGUUUCUCCCUUCACGGCUGAGGCCAAGAGGAGGACGUUCAUUGAUGGGACGUACCCGAACUUAUUCAGAGAGGUGGACAAUGCCAAGUGGAAAGCGUUCGAGACAGAGUGGAGGAGAAUUAUCCCCGGGUAAGUAUUGUAUGAUUUUAAUAAAGCACUGUACGCUAACUCGUCUACGCUUAUUUUAACAUUUCCCUAUUUUUUUACAGAGUUAGCCACACGAUAGGUCAAAGGACGGUCUCGGACCCUUACAAGUGGUUCCACGAUAUCACCACUGCGGGAGCUUAGCUCGCUGACGAUGUAAGUGAACUAUUCAUUUCGUAUUUUUUAUGUAUAUGUGACCUUGUGUUUAUUAAAUGAAUAACUCAUCUUUUUUGGUGUUUCCUGCUGCAGCACAUCAAUCUAGCCAUGGACUUGCUGCGAGAUCGAGCUCAAAGACAUCCAAAAUCAUUUGAUGUCCAUGGUCGAGUCAUAUUAAACACCGAGUUCCUGCGUGCCGUUACCAUAGAGUAUCAGUCGCUCGAACUUAUGGGUAACAAGUACACGGUGCCAGAAUAUAUGCUCGAGUGGGUGAUAGGACUGUCACCGAGUGUCGGGGGAAAAUCAUGGGAGGAUUGUACACUUAUGUACAUUCCAGCGUGCAUCAAUAAACACUAUGUUACGCUGGAGAUCAUUUUUACUGACUCGACUAUAUAUGUGUACGACCCAGAUCAUUCAUGUUUGACACAAGGCCAGUUGGAGUAAAACCUAGAGUCUGUGGCUGUAAUUGUUCCUAUGAUGACCAGACGAGCGGGGAUAAAUGUACAGGACAGAUUGCGGAUCGUUCGGAACACGACGACAGCACAACAGUCCGUAAAGUAAGUGUUUGAACUUUGUUGUUUUCAUCUUUCAGAUUUAGUUUUUAUUUACACAGUACUAAACUGAUUCAUUCUUGUUCAAUUGCAGCGGCGACUGCAGCAUAUUUGCCAUUAAGUACGUUGAAUUUUUAAGUAUAGGACAUAAGGUUGAUGGAAUCAACCAGUCGUGGAUACAGAACUGGAGAAAGAAGCUAACAUGUGAUUUGUUCGAAUUUAAUGUUGACCCGUAAAUUUCAUUUAUAUAUAUGUAACAUUUCAAUUAUAAAUUUAAUUAUUUUUGUAAUUAUGAAAUAAUUGUAAAUUUGUGUUCAAUGUAUAUAACAUUCAAAUUGAAAAUUUAAUUAUUUUUUGUUAUUUUUCAUAUGAAUCAUUAUAAAUACCAUUUAUCAAGAAUAAAUAUUGAAUAUGGAAGAUUUAUAAAUAACAAAUAUUGAACAGUGUAAAGUAAAAGGAAAUAUUAUUUAUUUCACGUACAUGUCUAGUCGUCAUUUAGGGAAAUUUGACUGGUACAAAAUUGUCGAGUAUGCCCUACGGCUCUGCACCGGCCACACCUUCGCGGUCGAGGAAACUCUCCGAUAGAUGGUAUUCUAGAUGUACUUGGACGUCCAGGACCACGCGGUUCAACUGCUGGUGGUAACAAAUUAUGAAAUGGGAGAAUGUGUUCAGGAACUUCCCACUCGACUUCAUUCGGCAGAGGAAAUAUAGUCUCGUCAUAUGCUGUUCUCCAAGACUCAGUCGUAUAAUACAAAGAGCAUAAUGUUCUUGCAGCAAAGCCUCGAUACAUGGCCACCGCAACUGCAUGCUCACAUGGAAAACUCUCCAACUGAAAUCUCGUACAAGUGCAUGUGUUAUCAGUCAAGUCCACCAUAUAUGUCGUAUUACGUGCACAUUGUACGGAGAAGCGAAACUCAUCUAGUGCUUUCACAUUCAACUUCCUCGCAACCUCUGCCGCCUUAAAUAGUUUCUCCUCUUGAACUGGGGCCAACACGCUAGUGCAACUCUGUGAUGCCGCACGUCAGUCAUGAAACCACUGUUGUAACUUGUUACGAAUGUUCUCAAUCAUUGCGAGAAUUGGUAACUCUCGAUCAUUCUUAAACAAUGCAUUGAGAGACUCCGCGUUAUUCGACGUCAUCAUGUUGUAUCGACAUCCUGGAAAAUAUGACCGCGCCCAAUGUUCGAUUCCCAUCUUCGUCAGAUACUCCAACGCUGGUAAUGAUUUACUUCCUAUCUCGAGCAUGAACUUAUUACACUCUUCAGCACUGUCAAUUUCGGCUGCUUUCCUGAACAAUGAAACGAUGUCUGUGCCCCGAUACCUAGUCUUCAAAUUACCUUGUAUAUGGUACAUGCAAUACCCGUGAUGUGCUUCGGGAAAAACUUCAGUGAUACCGUUUAUUAUAGACUGUCCCCGAUCGGUUACAAAGGCAAGGUCUUCGACUUCCCCGAUCACUUCCCUCAGUUUAGAAAAGAACCAACGCAUGGACAGAUCAUUCUCGCUGUUGACUAUGCUGAAUGCAAUAGGGUAAAUUUGGAUGUUGGCAUCUUGACAUGUAGCAAUAAUUAAUUUGCCUUGAUAUUUAGCUUUCAAAGUUGUACCAUCAAUUAGAAUUACGAGUCGCAUUGCAUUUCGAAAACCCCGAAUACAUUGUCCGAGAGUCAUGAAGAAAUAUUUAAAACAAUUAUCGCCCCCCGUCUCAAUAAAAAAUGUCGUAUCGGGAUUAGUUGUCCCCAUGUUAUGGCAAUACCAAGCCAAUUUAGCAUAGCUCUCUUCAGCCGAUCCCAUUAAAUCCUCCAACGCACAUUCUUUGGCCUUCCACGCUUUCUGGUAGCUCAUGAGCACUCCGUACUCUCGACGGACGUCGUUAAUGAUAUCCGAAGGUCUAUAGAUCGUCCGUGGAUCCUGAUACUUGUGCAUUAUCUGUCGACCAAUAAACCAUGCUCGAGCUUGCCUGUGAUCAUUUUGAAGAAUUCCCACUUCGCAAGUAUGUUCCCGUGAAUACUUGCGAAUUACGAAGCACUCAUUCGUGUCCAUCUUAGUUGCUCUCAAGUGUCAAUUGCAACUGUCUUCGACGCAAGCAACUGUCAACAAUGAUUUGUUUGAUUUCUUUACGUUGAACUCAAAGUUAUAUUUUAAUGUCAGCCAGUGCACAGCUUCUGCAAAUCUUUCUUGGUUUCAAACAGUUGCUCGACCUGCAAGUCCUCAUCAUCGGGAGCCACACGGGAAGAAUUGGAGGACGGUCCACUUGUUCCAACCUGUGAGCUCCCACCCGGCUCGUGUCUCUGUCAGGAUAAAGCAAUCAAAUUCUCAUUUGUAAACUCAUUUAUAUUAUCAUUGUCUUCAACUGUCGACGAAAUUCUGCGCGUAACAGCGACAUCACGAUCAGAAGCAACUGUCUCAGGAAUACCCACAUCAUCCGCAGGAACUAUCUCCACUGUCUCCUAAAAACCUCAAUCAUUGUUAUCCGCUCUAUCUGAAUCUUCGCGUUCACCUUCGAUAACAUCCUUCGUAAUUAAAGUCACACCAAGAACAGUCGGAGUCCGAUGCAUUUUAUUUAAUUCUAAUAGAUAAUUCAAUUCAGCAUCAUUAAUAACGAAUAUCGGUGGCAUCGGAAUGGAUGAAUCCCCAUAACCGUUGAAUAGAUAUCUCAAUUGCAUAUCGUAUUGAGAUUGAUCGACAUUCAGCUUAUUUUGCAAAUCGUGGUACAUUUCUAAGUAUGGUGUAUUCUCUGUUAUGGGAAUUACAAUACAACCACGUAUGUCACUCGUCCAUCUCCAUUCCCACCGAUUAUUUUCAUUCAAUUCGAAAUCACCAAAAUAACACAUGAGGAUUAUCAUAUCUGCAUGAGGAAAUGGUUUUAAUCAACUUCAUUUAUUAAUUAUAAGAAAAAGGCCAACAAAAAUCAGUGCAGCCCGUAAUUGGCUGUUUAACAGCCGACUGCUUGGCUGUUAACAGCCAAGCAGUCGGAUUGUUUUCGACUGUUUGGCUGUUAACAGCCAAAACAGCCAAUUUGAUUGUUUUUGCGCAGGAGAAUACGGUUCUAAAGUUAUACAUUUGUUCAAUUUUUUUUUAUAGGUAAGAUCUGUUAAAAAAAAUUUAUGCUAACUACUAUAUCGACAUAAAAUUUCUCUAUUCAACGUAUACUAAUUUACUUAAAACGAAAUUAAACAUGCGUAAAUGUACUUACCGAUUUGAAGUAAUUGAUAUGAAAAAAUUUCCGGCUUCAACGUUUCAAAGUUUUUCUAGAUUUUGAGGUUCAAGCAGAUGAAAAGAUGAGAGUUUUUCCUGUGUUGGAAGCUCGUUUUGAAGUUUUUAUAAGUGGGGGAAGUGUUUGGGUUUCAAUUAUUAACUAAAAGGAUAGUAUAGUCCUUUCAACAAUAUAUUGUUUUGUAAUUGUACAGAACAUUUAAGGACAUCUUUGUCUUUUAUCAUACAAGAGGCCAAUGUCAUAACAUUCAUGAUUUUGGAAGUCAAAGUGGAAUUUAGGUCCUUUGACUGGGUCAAACUUAAAAGUACCUCGAGUUGUUAGAUGCAGAAACAAAAGCAAAAGUGCUUGCGAAUACAUUCAACUCGCUAGAGCCUGAUGCACUUAAGGCGAUUGAAGAUUACGAGUUAAUCGGGAUUGGACCCUUAAUUCCUUCCGCUUUCUUGGAUGGUAAAGAUCCAUCUGAUAAGGGUGUUGGUGGCUAUCUUUCUCGUAACUCAGAGGAUUAUAUGCAAUGGUUGAACUCCAAGCCCGAAUGUUCUGUGGUUUACGUGUCAUUCGGGAGUCUUUUGAGGCUCCCAAAAAUUCAAAUGGAGGAGAUUGCAAAAGGAUUAAUCGAGUGUGGACGACCCUUUCUGUGGGUCAUACGAGUAGAUGAAAACCAAGAAGAACAAAAGGACGCUGAUAAACUAAGUUGUUUGAAAGAAUUGAAAAAACUGGGCAAAAUAGUACCGUGGUGCUCCCAACUUGAGGUCCUAACACACCCUUCAUUGGGUUGUUUUGUGAGUCAUUGUGGAUGGAAUUCGACGUUCGAGUGUAUAGCAUGUAGUGUUCCUGCGGUGGCAUUUCCACAGUGGGCUGAUCAAGGGACUAUAGCAAAGCUGAUAUAAGAUGUGUGGAGGACAGGCCUAAGGGUAAAGCCAAGAGAAGAUGGAACCGUUGAGAGCGACGAGAUCAAGAGGUGCAUUGAAACAAUAAUCGACAACGAAGAAAAAAGUCGAGAAUUGAGAGAUAAUGCUAGGAGAUGGAAGAAUACUGCAAGAGAAUCUAUGCAACAGGAUGGUUCUUCUACCAAGAACUUGAAGGCUUUCGUUGAGCACUUCGAGAUUUUUAAGUCAAGAAUUUACUGUCUAGAAUUUAAUUAGAUGCCAUUUUUCAUUCAACUUUGUCUUCCCAGAGCUAGAGCCCGGUGCUACAAUGUGUUAAUCAAAAAGUGCUGUACUAUGAGUAUUUUAUCUUAAUAAAGAGGUCACUUUUAAUGAGCAUUUUCUUUACAAACCUUCUAUUACUUUUACUAAUCGAGUACUGAAUCGAAUGGAAUCAUAUAAAGAAUUAACGUUAAGAGUUUAAAUUCGCUUGAAACGAUCUCUAGCUUGUUGUUAUUGAUUAGCGAUUUUGGUUUCUUAAAAUGUUGUGUAGUCGAUUCUAAAUUUAUUGAAAAGAAGAAGUAUAGUUAUUUGUUUUUAAUCGGCCUUUUUGCUCCUUUGUCCUGUUUUCAGAAAGGUAAAGAAUUCACUGUCAAGCAAGGAUAAAACUAUUGAAAAGUGAUUUCUUCCAAAUUGAUUUUUUGGGGAGAAUAUGUGCUUAUUUUUAGACAUGGAAAAUGAUUUUUUUUUUUCAAAGAAUGCAUGAUUAAAAUUGAGUGUAUAAUUUUCAAAAAAUUACUUUCAAAUAAGAGAUUAAAUUAAAACUAUCGAAAUUAAGAAAAACAGAUCUAGAAUUAUGUUUACUUGCUAAAGAGAUUAUGCCCCUAGCUAUUUGAUUUAGAUAAAUUAGAGUUUGCCCUUGUUUGAAUCCCGUUUUAUUAAAAAAUUAUUUUUUCAAAACUUAUUUUCAAUCACAUAUUCUCUAAUAAAUAAUUUUAUACAUAAAUCGAAAUUUUUUUCUUAUUUUUUAACCACACAUUCUCUGAAUAAUACUAUUCAAACAAAUAUUUUUUCUUCAAAAUGGGGUUCAAACAAGGGCUUUAGUAAAUUUUGAUAAAAGUAGAUAAAAUAUAUGAUUAAAAAAUUAUGAAUUUGAUAAAAUGUGUUGUUAAAAUUAAUUGUUGUCUUCAAUUUAAAUUUUAUAAAAAAAUUUAGGUGAACCAACCAAGGACUAUAAUAAGUCCAUGAUAUUUUUAGGUUAAAUAUACUCACGUCACAUUUAUUUUUUCCAUAAAUAGACGACAUUUUAAUUGCAUAAAAUAUACAUAACCUUUACAUAUUAUCACACUUAUGUUUUAAACUUUUCACCUCAUUCUUGUUCUCAAAUUAAUAUAAAUUAUUUUUAUUAUAGUUUCUCUUCAUUUUUUUUUUAACAAAGUAAAAAGACUCGAUUGCUCAUUAUAUUUUUUAAUAAGCCAAACAAAUAAUGGUAAUGGUGUAAAUAUGCAAAAUAUCCGACUCUUAUUUUAAAGUACAUUAAUAAUAUUUUUGGACGAAAACCAUGAUUAAGAAUAAAAUUUUAUAAUCACGAAAUGUUAAAUAUAAGAGUAUGAUGAAGAAAAAUGUGAAAAAGCGAAGUAGGAUGAUAAAUAAAAGUUAAUGAUCUUUAAUGUAAUUAAAAUAUAAUAAAAAAUAUGAUGGUAAUAUAAUCAUUCUAUUUUUUAUUGAUAAAAAUCACCAUUCUCAAGGAGUCCAAGAUCAUUGUUUGGCAAAAUUUUGACUCCGCCUUUUUUCUUAUUGAGAAUUGUUCAUUCAAAAUUAUCAAAACUCUAUAAAUUAACUUUUCCAAUAAAAUGGAAAAAAUUGAUUUAAUAUUAUUAUCUAUUUACGUAUAAAAAUUGUGAUUAGGUACGUAUACAUCAAUAGUCGACAUAUAUUGUAUGCUUGCAAUCUCCAAUAAAAUUGUAUUGGACAUUGUCAAUAUAAAAAAUAAAUAUGUAAUCAUAUAUCUAUUAAUGCAGCGCAUCAAGAAUGCAGUAAUACUUCAAUCUAAUUCAUUUAACCCAAAGCAUCUUAGAAGAAUAUUGAGCUCCUGCUCGACCCUAUUUCUUAAAAUUCAUUUUUAAACUCGUUUUCAACAACAUUUCAAGAUAUUCAUGACUUCUAUCAAUUUUUUAAUCACAUUUUACUAACUCAAAUUGAAAUAUACUAAAAGAUAACUUUUAUCCAAACAAAACAAGGCUAAAUAUUGGAAGAAAAUAAUGAAUUUUAUAGUAUAAUUUAAAAAACAACAAAAAAAAACUUCAUUCUUAGAAGAGUUUAAAUACCAACAAUAUGAAAAAAAAAAAAAAAAAAACUCCCACUAUCAAUGCCAAAUAUUCUCACCUAAAAUAAAAGAUAAAAUUAAAAUAACAAGAAUAUAAUGAAACCAGUUUGUAAUGCCCCAAAAUGUCUUGGCGUUCAAGUUUCGAGUGUGUGUACAGACAAUCCAGAAUGUGCAAACACUCAAGUAUUUAUUUUCUAUUUAUGUCCUAGUGUUCUAUGAAUGCUUUCACUAAAGCUCGACAGCGUCAAUUUAUAAAGUAAAUAUAUUUGCAUAUUUCCUUCUCUAGAUGUAAAUAAUUUAUGUACACGAACCUCAUUUUAAAACAUAGCUAUCUUAAAUAUAGAAUACUAAAUAUUACCAGUUCACAAUUUGAUUAAAAUUUUGUGAACAUUUGUGAGUUGUGACGGAGCAAAGUCAAAAAAAUAAAAGAAUCGAUAGGUGGUGGUGAGAGUAGGGAUAGAGGUGGUGGCACUGGCAGGGAUAAGGAUUGGUAGGUGAAUUUGGUUGUGGUGGGAUCAGGUGAAGAGGAAGAUGAAGAAAUAUAUAUUUUUAUUUUAUUUUAUUUCUUUUAUUUGAUUGUUUAAAUUGUUUUAGGUGAAAAGGUAUAAAGUUAUCAUUUUGCCCUUUUAAAAUUGGCAGAAUUAAGAUUAGACGUUUACCUUUUAAUCAACUAAUAGAUUUUUAGACGAAAACUGUCCAAAUGUUCUCCUGUUGAGGGAAGAACAUAGACUAUGUUUACCAGUUUUAAGUACUAAUACGAGUUUUUAAAAUUUUUUAUAUCAUGUCAUCACAUUCAUCAUUUCAUUAAUUUUAUAUUGCCAGUAAUAAUCACCUAAAUAAAUCAUUGGUAAAGAUAUAAAAUUAUAUUGGGAAUCCUAUCAAAAUGUGUUUAGUUAUAUCUUAAAAAAGAAUGAAUUGAAUUAUCCAAUCAGUUUGUUGAACAACGUUUUAAAGUUUUACAAAUCUAAACAGACAGUCAAAAAGCGUAAAAUAUUUUACAACAAUGUCAAAAUUUCCACCUAAAAGGACAUUUUAAAACAAUGAUUUUUAUAACUAUUUCUUGAAUAAUUCUAAUGCUAUUAUUAAAAUGAUAGAAAGUUAUCUUUUCAGGAGUAGGAACUCAUUAUGGAUUUUCCUCCUUAAAAGAGUGAAAAAAGGGGAUGUUGUCUCUGUCCACUGUCAUAUAAUAGCUCUGCCAACACGAAAGAAAUGCUUGUCUACUUUUAAGAGGGCCAAAUGCAGGGCGUGCUCGGUAGUAAUUUUGAGAAUUGAUUUUUUGAUCGUUAGGAGAAAGGUGGAGGCUUCCUAUGAGAAAAGAAGUCAGAAAUUACAGCUAAAAUAUUGAAAUAACGAUCAAAAAAAUUAAUUUUUAGGGUGAAAAAUCACUCCCAAAUGGAGCCAUAAUUUUAUUAAUAAAACUAUUUGUACAUUCGGGUGACACUCAGCAAAGUCCUAAUUUUAUUAUUUAAGGUAUUUUGUUUGUUAGUAAAUUUCUUUACAGAAUUCAUAGAUGCCGUCGCGUUGUUAACCUACGAAGGUUAAACAUGAAAUUACACAUUAAAUUUAUAAAACAAGUAUAUGAACUUUUAGUAUUACCAAAAUCAUUAAUUUAGAGUUGAGUAUUUCGCACAAUCUUCGUGCAAAUUUGAUUUGCAAUGCUACCAAAUUUUUGCACUUAUUCAUUCCCGAGCUUGAAGACAAAAGAAGCACACGAACAAAAUUACCGGUACUUGAAACAAAGGCAACAACGUAUGACUUCGUUGCCCCUCUGAUACUCAAGUUAGCGAGAAAGAAAAAUAUGAUGUAAAGCUAUAAAUUGAAUAUAAAAGCACACCCGAAUAAUAAUCCAAGGCUUUGUAUUUAUAGAGGAAGGUAGUGCACGAUUAAGUGGUGUACUCCUAGUAGGAUAAGUAAUUGAGCAUCCUUGUCUGAUUAAAAAGUUGUGAAGUGUUUGUGCGUCUUUCCAUACCUAGGAGUUGUAAUUUGAUUGAAUUUUGUGAGAUAGAAUGUUUGGAUGAACAUAUAACACAGGUGAUAGAGUCCUAUUAGAUUAACAAAAUUAGUAGUUUCGUCAAUGGACCGAAAUCACCUCUUCGCACAUCACCUCGAGGAGCCUCAACCCCGACGAUUGAAGACACGUAGGUCAAAAUACCUGGAGCUCACUCGUCGAGGAGUGAUCCUCGUGAUAUCAAAAAUGGGAACAUCCUAAUAGAAAAAGAGAGCAAAAAAGGAUAAUGAGGGACACGAUAUGUCUAAGGGCUUGAAGCCCGAGGAUGUUCUGACCAAAGAAGAGAGCGACUUCGAGUCCGACCACGUAAACUCAAUGAUAUUCUAACUCUAUGAGAGUGCUUGACGUUAUCAUGACCUCGAGCAUGAGGUCGUGAAUGGUCGAGUCAUGCAAGAAUUGAUAUAAAGAAUAUUGUUGCUGUCGAAGCUCAAUUACUUAUAUAUGUCAGAGGUGUCUCUUUCGAUUCGGUUCUAAUAGUCAAUUAGUAUUUUUUUUAUUGUGUUUAAACGAUAUUAGAAGAUGGCCACCUUGAAAUACAAAGAGAUUUUUCUAAAGAGAGAAAAUGGUGAAAGGGGGCCAAAAACCCACACAAUAAGUUGCAAGAUACAAUCGAACUUAAAACAAAAAUUAAACUUGCAGAAAAUAAAGAACACAACAAGAUUUUUUAGUCGAAGCCCCAGAGGUUCAGUGACAAGCACCUAAUCCCCCUAUCGAGCAUCCAAUCAAAUUGGAUAUUGCUCGAUUGCACUAAAACCCCAAAAUAGGCAAUCGAAUGUUACAGAGUUCAAUCACUACAAGAAUACACAAGAAAGAGACUUAUCUCUUCGAAGGAACCACAGAUCUGACUCAGACUCACAACGAAUCAACAGACCACAUCCCUAAUCUCAACACAUGAGAACUCUAAGUAUCACUCAAGAACAUAUCAGUAUUCAGUGAUUAAUAACCUUCCAAAACAUCGAAUGAGAUGAUCGAUUACAGAAAAUAGGGAAGACUGAAAACCCUAACUCAAGAGAGAACUGAAGAACACUCUCGAACCUCACUCAAGAGUCAUACCAAAUGAAAAGUCACCCAGCCAAACGAACAGUGAAUCUCAUUUAUAUCACCAGCAUGUAAACCCUUCAUCCAACGGUGGGAAUUAAACCAGGUGUCAUCAUUAGGCAAAAUGCCAUUUAUAAAAGCGUAUUUUCAUAACACGUUUUUGGUGACUGAAAAUAUGGGAGCAUAAAUAACAUGGUUCGAGUCACAACAAUCUCCACCUUGUUACCAUAUUUUCUGCUUUAGUGCAGUCAGGAGACAAUAUCACUUUCUCCUUUCAUUUGCUCCAAGUACCUGCAAUUUUAUCACAUAGAAUCAAUAGAUAAUGACUUCAAAUAGUUUUUAAAUUUGUUCAAAGGUAUUAUCUUUGUUCCCAUAUCAGAUGGGUUAUAUUGAGUAGGUACUUUACAAAUUUUCAAAACACCUUUUCAAAUAAUGUCUCUAAUAAAGUGAUACUUAAUGUCUAUGUGUUUAGUCCUAUCAUGAUACAUGAGAUUUUUACUAAGAUGUAUAACACAUUGAUUAUCAGAAUAUAUUUUCAUCAACAAUUCCAAGUUCCUUAAGUAAUCAACUUAACCAUAUUCCUUCUUUAAAAGCAUCAGAAGCAGCAAUGUAUUCUGCUUCAGUUGAGGAUAAAGCUACAAUCUUUUGCAAUUGUGAUUUCCAACUAAUUACCGUACCACAUAAGGUAAAGAAAUAGGAUGAAGUUGAUUUCCUAUUGUCCCUAUUUCCAGCAAAAUCAGAAUCAGUAAAUCUCUUUAAGGUUAUUCCUUCUUUGUUCAUUUUAAACACAAGACCCAAGUUUGCAGUACCCUUUAAGUAUCUUAAGAGCCAUUUUAAAGCAUUUCAGUGUUCUUCCCCAGGAUUACUCAUAAACCUACUUAAUAUGCUAAUGCUAAAAGCAAGAUCAGGUCUAGUACAUACCAUUAAGUACAUCACAUAACCAAUAACAUUUGCAUAAGGUAUUUUUGACAUUUUAUCAGAUUCUUCAAAAGUUUUGGGACAGAGAUCAGAUGUUAGCUUAAAAUGAUUUGCAAGAGGCUGAGACACAGAUUUACAAUCAAACAUGUUGAAUUUUUUUCAAAAUCUUUAUCACAUAAUCAUAUUGAUUUAGAAAUAAUAUAUUUUUCUCUUUAUCUUUAUAAAUUUGCAUGUCAAGAAUCUUUUUAAUAUUUCCAAGAUCUUUCAUGUCAAAUUCAUAUUUAAGUUGUUGAUUAAUAUAUUCAAUUUCAGAUUUAUCACAACUUGCAAGCAACAUAUCAUCCACAUAAAGUACAAGAUAAAGAGAAUGUUUACCUCCUUUACCUCUACAAUACAAAUAUGUAUCAUAAUUGCUCUUUUGAAAACCAAGUUUCAAUACAAAAUAAUCAAAUCUUUUGUACCACUGCCUAGGAGCCCGUUUCAGGCCAUACAGGAACUUCUUUAACAAGCACACAACAUUUUUCGGAUUUCCUUUCACAAACCCAACUGGUUGUUUCAUCCAGAUCUCCAUAAAGAAAAGCAGUCUUAACAUCCAACUGGUCAAGUUCCCAUCCAAAUUGAGCAACUAAGGCAAGUAAACAUCUAAUUAUAGUGUAUUUAGCUACAGGAGAAAAAAUUUCAGUGUAAUCUACACCUUCCUUUUGUGUAAACCCCUUUGCAACUAACCUAGCCUUAUACCUAAGACUAUUAUUUCCUCCCUCACCUUCUUUUAUCUUAUAAAUCCAUUUACAGUCUAUAAGCUUUUGUCCUUUUGGCUUCUCAACUAAUUUCCAGGUUUUAUUUUUAAGAAAUGAAUUCAUUUCAUCUUCCAUCGCUAUUAUCCAAUGCUUAGAGUCUUUGUAGUUUAUGGCAUCUUCAUAAGUGUUAGGCUCAUUUUCAGUUUGUUCCUGAUACGUAAAUAAUGAAACAAAAUCAUCUGAAUCAUAUCUUGCAGGUGAUCUAGUCUGCCUUCUUUCCCUAUCUCUAGUUAAUUGAUAUUCUUCAAUGGGAUAUGUUGGAUUUUCAAACUGGUCAUUAGUGUUAUUAUGCAGAUUAUUUUCAGUUUCAUUUUCUGCAUUAAUCAUUUCUGGUUCAACAGGUACAUUUGUUUUUCCUUCAAUCUUAGGAGGCUCCGCCCCAAUUUGUACAUCAUCAGAAGUCAAAUUUUGUUUUCCUUCUAGGCAUGGCAUAAGGGAUUCAUUAAAGACAACAUCUUUUCUAACAAUCACCCUAUACCCUUUCUCACUUUUAACCCACAGUCUAUACCCCUUCACAUUUUCACCAUAACCCAAGAAAACACAUUUAAGUGAUCUAGGUUCUAGUUUUCCAAUAUUUUGGUGUGCAUAAACAACACAUCCAAAAGUUUUUAAAUGUGAAUAAUCAACAGAAUUUUUAGCCUAUACUGAUUCAGGUACUUCAAAGUUUAGGGCAGAAGUGGGUGUUCUAUUAACUAAAUAUGCAGCUGUUUUUACAGCUUCAUCCUAAAAUAUUUUUGGCAAAUCAGAACUUAAUAGCAUGCAUCUAACUUUAUUUAGUAAAGUUCUGUUCAUUCUUUCAGUUAUGCCAUUUUGUUGAGGUGUAUAGGUAACAGUGAGAUGUCUUAAUAUACCAUGUUCUUUACAGAAGUUAUUGAACUCAUGAUUACAAAACUCCAGACCAUUAUCCGUUCUUAAUAUUUUUGUCUUGUGAUUGGUUUGAUUUUCUAUUUGUGUUUUCCAGUCCCCAAAGACUGAAAAAGUCUCAUCUUUAGAUUUUAAUAAGAAAAUCCAGAUUUUUCUUGAAAAAUCAUCAAUGAUCAAAAUAUAAUAAUUAAACUCUGAAAGAGUGCACACAAAUGCAGGUCCCCACAAAUCAGCAUGCAAGUACUCAAGAAUUUGUUUAGUUUUAUGAGUUCCAGGCAGAAAAGGAAGCUUAAAUUGUUUACCAAUCACACAUUGUUCACAAUGACCAAUAUCACCAAGAUUUUGUUUACCAAAAAUUUCUUUGUUUUCUAAAGCCUUUAGACUUUUAUUACCAAUGUGGCCAACUCUCUUAUGCCAUAAUUUUGCAAAAGAAAAAUUUUCAGUUAAAGCAGUAACAGUUAAGCCAAGUAAAGGCUUAGUUUUAAGGAAAUAAAGUCCAUGUCUCUUAGGGAUACUAAUGACUAAAUCAUUGCCCCUAAGAAUUUCAAUAUGUCCAUGACCCAAUUUUAUGUUGAACUCCAUAUCAUCCAACAUUCCUAGAGACACUAGAUUUCUCUCAAGUUCAGGCACAUAUCUAGUUCCUUUUAGAAAUAGGACCUUCCCAUUAUCAAGUAGCAAUUUUAUAGUACCUAUUCCAUUUACGUUACAUGUCAUAUUGUUACCCAUUAUGACUUGCCCACCAGUAGUUUUUUCAAUUUCAAAAAAACUAUUCUUAUUAGGGCACAUAUGAAAAGAACUGCCUGAAUCAAGAAUCCAUUCAUCACUUAGUCUCUUGUCCCCAUUAACAAGGACCAAGCCAUCUUCAUUUUUAUCUUUGUUAUACACUAAGGCUGCAUCCCCAACUUCAUAUUUCUUUUUUUUUUGACUCAUUUUUCUUUUUAUAGCAGUCUUUAAUAAAAUGACCCUGUUUUCCACAAUAAAAAUAUUUAUUUCCUUUGGCCUUGUUUUUAGACUUUCCCUUAUCACCCCAUUUUUGCUUAUUUUCAAAUGAAGCUUUUGAGUGAUAGGUUUACUAAAGCCUUUUCCUUUUGCCAUUAAAGUAUCCCCACUAUGACUUCCUUUUGUUUCAGAUUUUAUUUCAAGGGCCUUAUUUUUUUAGGGCAUUAAUUAUUAUUUCUGUAGUAAGUUCAUCCCUGCCAUAUUCUAAGGCAACCUUGAUAUCUUUAUAUCUAUCACUAAUAGAGUUCAACAAGAUCACAGCCAACUGAUCUUGUGAAAGUUUUUUUAUCACAGUUGGUAAGAUCUUGAGUCAAUUUUGUAAACCUAUUCAAGUUAUCAUCCAAAUCAGUGGAAGGAUCCAUCUUAAAAGAAAAGAGUUGUUUUAACAGAUAACAUUUGUUUAGGAUGAUUUUUGUCACAUACUGUUUUUUUAAUUUAGUCCACAGUUCAGAAGCUAUCUUAGUUUCACCAAUAGUUCUUAUAACAUUCUCAGACAGAUACAAGAAAACAGUACUCCAGGCUAUCUCUUCUAAUUUAGCCUUCCUAAUAGGGUUCAUGUCUUGAGGCCAAGUCAUCUAAAGCCCUAACGCAUCUCAUUUGCAUUAGUAUUACUUUCAUCUUUUGACUCCACAUAUUGCAAUCAAUUUUUCCUUCGAAUUGUGUAACCUCAAAUUUACCAGUAGCCAUUUUCUUAUGUCACACAAAAUGUACAAGUUCGAGUCAAAAGAUCACACCACAGUAUACACUGGACACAUAAAUAUUAAACUUACAGUAUGACUAGACUUCUAAUUUUGAUCCAAAUUAAAAUUUCAUUUAAAAUUGACGACUUUUUAUAUUUUCGUUAAAAUUAGAUUUUUACUUAAAUAUUAAACUUUGACCCUAAAUUGAAUUUUAUUUUAUUUAGGAGUUUUAUCCUAAAUUAAAAUCUUAAUUCAAAUUAAGUUAGAAUUGGAUUCUAAUUUAGUGUUUAAUUAAAAUUUGAUUUUAAUUAAAUUAUUCACCCAAAUAUGUUAUUGAAGUUAGAAUUGGAUUCUAAUUUGACAUUUAAUUAAAAUUUGAUUUUAAUUAAAUUGUUUCGCCCUAAAUUUUUCUUUAAAUUGUAGUUAGACUCUAAUUUGAUGUUUAAUUAAAAUUUAAUUAAACAGGUUCGCCCUAAAAUCUUAGAUUUAGAGUUGGACUCUAAUUUUACCAUUUAAUAAAAAUUUGAUUUUAAAUUAAAUUCAUUCACCCUUAAAUAUUGGAAUUAGAGUUAGACUCUAGUUUUGUCAUUUAAUUAAAAUUUGAUUUUAAUUAAAUUCAACCGCCUUACAUUUUGAAAUUAGAGUUUGAUUCUAAUUUGAUAUUUAAUUAAGAUUUGAUUUUAAUUAAAUAGUCCCGCCAUAUAAUUGUUGAAUUAGAGUUGGACUCUAAUUUGUUAUUUAAUUAAAAGUUGAUUUUAAUUAAAUAUUCCCGCUAAUUAAAUAAUCGAUUAAUAUGAUUAAUUAAUUAUUUAAUUGUUCCGAUCCAUUUGUCUAAAAGAGUUUAGACGACUUAAUUGCUAGAAAUUUGAAAUUAAUAUGCAUAUAAUAUUAGAUAUUAUAUAUGUAUACAUUUAUGUGAUGAAUGUAUUAUUAGUGGACAAUUAUAGACUCGACCAUAUGGAUGUGUUGAAUGGUUAAUUUUAUUUUUGUUUUUUUGUGGGUCUGCGAGCCCAUUAUUAUUAUUAUCAUUUUGGACCUGCGAGUCCAUCAUUAUUAUUAUUGCUAUGGGCCUGCGAGUCCAAUUUCUUUUAGGCCUGCGUGCCAACUAGUAUAGGAUACAUGUUGCAAUUGGAUUAAUUGAAGAAACAAGAAGAGGAGGAGACCAUGGAGAUGGCGCAUUGAUACUGUUCAGUUUAAUACCCCUAGGAAUUGACCAGCUAGUCUUCCUUAUGACUCAGGAAGACUAGAUAAUAAAGUCCAUAAUUGUCCACACUAUUAUAUUAUGUUAUAUAUAUAUUUAUUUGCAUGGUAGAUGUAUAAUAAUAUAUAUAUGAUUGUAUUGUUGUUGAUGAGACUCAUGAAUGCAAAAUCCCUCCAUAAAAUAUUAAGUCACAUUUGUAAUCGCCUUCCAUCAUUAUAGUGAAAAACUAGAGUCCCAAAUCGUUUCAACUUGUUGAGUACACUCAAGGCUGGUCCAUUAGGGAUAUGUUUGACACUAUAAAAUAUUUGAUAUUUCUAAAUGAUGAGUUUGACUUAACUAAAAAUUAUCUUUUGUUGAGUACACUCAAGGAGAUAAAUUUUAGAGACAUAUUAAGCUAACACAUAAGAUGUGUGAAGACAAAGAUUUGUCAGCUUAAUGAUCUGAAAAUUGUAUGGAGAUACAAUUGAUAAUAAUAUCUACCCAAAUGUUAUAUUAUGGCUUGUUGAGUACACUCAAGGUCUUAAUAUAAUAGAUGGGAUCCCAACCCACUGGGAGUCAAGCAUGGACUCCAUAAAUUUAUGUAAGAGGGUCAUAAAUUUUAUUUAAAUAGUGGGAGCAUAAUUAAUUUAAUAAAAGACCAUGUUAAAUUAAUUGAUGCAUUUUAUAUAUUAUUCUUUCCUUUUUCGUCAUUUAUAUUUAUUGAAUUUGAGUAACCAUAUGUUUUGAAUGGCAUACUAGAUGCCAACAACCAAACUAUAUUUUCUUAAGAGACACCGCAAUUUGAGAAUUGUUCUCAUGCAUGAGAAAAUUGGUCACGUCUUUGAGUAGCCCUUUCCAGAGACACCUGCUGAUGACUCGAUUGAAGAAGAGGUGGCUACUAUAAUGAACGCAGUGAUGACAAUAGUACUGCAACGUAUGUGAUACUUGCAACUAUGUCACUGAGUUACAAAAGCGACUUAAGAGUAUAGAUGUUAACACAUAAUUCUUCACUACAAAGAGAUGUAAGAUAAUAAUCGUGUGUGGAAUGAUAUGAGACUUACAAACAACUAUACCGGUGCAAAAUGACAGAGUAAUCCACAAUCGAUACUUAGACACUGAAGAUGAUUGAUGUUGAGAAAUGUCUCAAUUGAGUUCAAUCAUAAACCAUGAACUAAGUAAUGACUUGGUUCUACAAUCUCUGUCAAAGAAAGCUAUUCAUAACUAAUUAUGAAUUUAACGUGAAUAAAUUCGAAUGCAAAAUUAUUAAGUUGCUUAACAUGCUUAGGACUGUUAAGCCCUUUAUCAAAGUUGGUAGUGGGCAAACCAUUGAUUCCUCUAAAGAUAUUAAGAGGAAGUCUAAAGGGACUUUAUGAAAGCAUCCAAUAUGGUUAAGACAGUCUAAGCGAAUGACAAAUAUCAAAUAUAAUGACCCUUGUUUUCAUUGUAGAAUGAAAGGUCAUUGGUAGGAAUAUAGCAUGGCUUAUGUCUACUUCACGAGUUUCUUAGGUAUUUGAUACCAGAUAUAAAUCUCAUAUUUAUACAAAUAUGGAAAAACUUAAAAGAAGUAGACCACUACGAAAGGGAGAAGUUGACAUACACGUUGGAGAUGAGCAAAUGUUGCUGCAUUGUCUGUAUGAAUAUACUUCUUGCCAUUGCCUUUUGUUUUAGUAUUGGAAUUAGAGAAAUGUCGCUUUAUACCAACCAUAGCUGGAACAUUAAAAUGAAUUUCAUGUUCGGACAUGAACUAUUUUAAUGUUUAUCUUAAUAAGAUCCUAAUAGCUAUGGUAAAUUACAAAACGACGUUUAUAUUCUUUAAUAUUAAGGAUUCUAUAAUGAGUAUAGAAAUUAUAAAGCUUAUAUGCGAUAAUCUAAUUAUUACCUAAAUCUGGCUUGACAGACUUUGUCAUUUAGAUAAAAUGUAAUUCCAAAGUUACAUAAAGAUGUAUACUUGGGAUUAAUUGAUUUUGACAAGUACAAAUUAUGCAUGUACCAUGACCAAAUCUUUUUUUAAUUGAAAAGAAGAAAGGUCAGCAUAAUUACUGGUCUAAUGCAUGGUGAUGCAUAUGGACUCGUGUCAAUUAAUGUCAGGUAAUGUUUCUCUUAUUUCAUCAAUAAUCAUGUAUACUUGAUGAAAACUCAAAACAUGAAACUCUUAAAAAGUUCAAGGGAUUCAAACUAGAAGUAAAGAAACAAAUAGGUAAAGAUACCCUCACAUUAAGAUUCAAUCAAGUGAGAGUAUCUUAAAGAUAAAAUCUAGAUUAUAUAAGAGAGAAUGAGAUUCUCUUGCAGUGGACUCCUUCAUAUAGACUGCAGCAAGGUGAUGUAUCUAAAAAGAGAAAUCGUUAAUUAUUAGAUAUAACGCGAUUAAUAACAAGCAAUGCAAAUCUUCCAAAAUUGUUUUGGAGUCAUGCAUUGAUUGCAGUGUGCAACACACUAAAUCAUGUCCCAUCUAAAUUGGUUAACAGAACUCCAUACGAGUUAUGGAAAGACAAUAGUCCCAAUUUAUCAUAUAUGAAAGUUUGGGGUCAUGACGCUUAUUUGAAGCGCUUUGAAUCGGAUAAGUUUGACACUAAAUUCGAUAAAUACGUAUUUGUGGGGAUAUUCAAAGCAGACGUUUGAAUAUAAAUUCUAUUCUAAUGAAGAAAGUCUUCAUCUCACGACAUAUCGUCUUCUUAGAGAAAAUGUUUACUCUAGGGGAGGACAGUGGGAGCAAAAUAGAACUUGAAAAGUUUAAGAGUCCAUAGAUAUAGUUAACCAAGUAGAUAAAUCCGAGUCUGAUCUCAUAUCUGAUAUGGGACAUACUUUGGAUCAGGAAGUAAAGACUCCUAAUGACAUGACAGCUCUAUAUGAAUCUAAUAGGAUUAUUCGACCUUCAAGAAGGUGCGAAUCCAUGAUUAUUAAUCAGGUAUUAGUGAUCCAGGAUAAUGAAUCUGCUAGUUGCAACAAAAUAAAGUCAAGUGUUGACUUAAAAGAGACAGCAUGAGGCCAUGAUACUCGAUAUGAACUCGACGUAUGUGAACAAGGUUUGGACCUUGGUUAAGCCUCCUGAUGGAAUAAAACCCAUAAAGUUUUGUAAAUAGUUUACAAGGAAAAUGUCGAUAUGGAAGUGGAUAUCCAUAUAUACAAAGCAAGGCUAGAAGCAAAGGUUAAGUGUUGACCUUGGUGAAACUUUUCUCCUGUGGACUUGCUGAAGUCCAUUCGAGUUUUAUUUACAACAGUUGCAUAUUGUAACUAAAGGUUAAGAUAAGUCUCUAUGGAGUUGAAAUCUUCGAUUUGAUGAAAAAAGUCAAAGUGUUUAAUUUUAUCAAAUUUGAAGUCGAAUUGUGUAUUUACAAGAAGAUAGUGAGAGCAUUGUCGUAUUCCUAAUAUUAUAGAAAACGACAUCCCUAUGUUUCAAUCGUUGAAAUAAUGGUUGUUAAAGGAUUUAUUCAUAAACGAUAUGAGAUAAGCAACUUGAUAUAUAGAAGUAGAUUUAGAAGAUUGCUUAACUCAUCCCAAUUUACAUGGAUGAAAUCUUGAGAAGAUUUCAUAUAGAGAAACUGGUUUACUCUUAAGCGGUAUGUUGGAAAGGUUCAAAACGUGAAGCAACCGUUGAUUCAAUAGUAGAAACCUAAUACAUGGUUACUUCAGAAGUAGCAAAGAGUUGCAAUAUGGAUCGUGAUGUUCAUAAAUGAAUUUGGAGUAGUUUCUGAUAUUGUUGAUCACAUACCAUAGUAUUGUGAUAACAAUAGAGCCAUUGCGAAAGCAAAGGAACUAAAGUCUCAUCAAUGAUCCAAACAUGUAUUAAGGCGGUAUAAUCUCAUCAAAGAGAUAAUACAUAGAAAUGACGUAAAGAGAAGAACAAAUUUUCACAUUUAACAAUAUUGCAGAUCCAUGGACAAAGAGUUGUCGUAGUAUAAAUAUGAUCGUCAUGUAGACUUAUGAUAUUGGAUACAUAAGUGAUUGGAUCUAGUGCAAGUGGGAGUUUGUAAGUAUUAUGCCCUAAGUCCAAUCAACUUUGGAUAUAAAUACUUUUGAUAUAUAAUUAAUGUAAUUUAAUAGCAGAUCUAUUAUUUAAUUAAUAGACAAUUAAAUAAAUAAUAGAAUUCGAAGAUUCAAACCUCCGUAAUUUGUUAAUCACAAGAAGUUGUGAUUGUGAGAUACAAAUUACAUCUGAUUGAAUCUUAAAUCAUCCAUGGUCGUAAGUAAUAACGAGAUACGGAUAUCGUUAUUAUGAAUAGACCGUCACGUGUGGCAUUUCUUACUUGUGAAGUAAGUAGCUGAUCUCACAAGCUAAAGUGUGGUGACACUUAAAUGAACACGUGGAUGUUUUGUUGGAGACCCGCCGAGAGAUUCCACAUGGAUAACUAACUGAGUGUCAGUGGUUAAUCUCUAAUGUUCGGUAGUGGAAUUGGUCCUUUGACUUGAGGUCGUCAUGGUACCUUAUAUGAGGACGGUCAUACUUUGGCGAUAUUGGAUGUUGCUCUGAAAAGAGCCACUAAUACGACAUCGUUCGGGUACGUCAAGAAUCGUAUGAAGGUUGUGAUUGAUCAAUAAAGGAUUCGUCACUCUUAGAUAGUAGGAGAUUAUGAUCUGCGUUUCAUUCAAUUAAGUCAAUGAUGAAAUAUUUGGCUAAGGUGUACUCAUAAGUCGAAAAGAAGUUUUCGACUUAUAUUGACUUAAUAGUGGAGUGAAAGAUAUGAUCGACAUUCGAGAUUGACACACUUUCAUAUCCCGUAGUUGAUCGGAUCAUAUUGAGAAAGGGAUUAUAGUUUCACGGUAAACAAACGAGUUUGGUUUUGUCAGACCACAUGACAUUUUCCGUCACAUGUAUUGCCCUGACACAUUGUUAGAUGUCAAUCAGAGACAACGAGUAUGAAUUGACGAUAAAUUAAAAUGGUGUUUUAAUUUAUCAAAUUUUAAUUAGAUCAAAAUAAUAUUUCACGUCGUUAGGCAUCGUGAUCGGGAGCCUGAUGGAUCACACACAAAAAAAAAAUUGAAAGAUUGCAAUUUAUCAAUUAAUUAAUUUAACAAUCGUUGGAUAAAUUAAUUAAUUGGGUUGGUUAUUUAUAAGCUCGAAUUAAUUAAUUGGAUUAAUUAAUUUAUGGAUCGGAUUUAAUUAAAUUGUUUAAUUAAAUAUUGGACCGGACCGGGCCGGGCCAGGCCAGGCUCGUUUGGGCUUAUAUAAAUAAAAUGUUGGGGUUUUCAAUUCAUAUGGUUUUCAUUAUUCUUGCUGGCACAAGAGAAAACCCUAGAAGCUGCAAUCUUAUUCUCUGUGUGGAUCACCGUUGGAGGCUGGACAAUUGGACAGCUGUGGUGGCGAAUCAAGAUUGCUGGAACGAGAAGAAAAGUAAAAGGUUUGCAGAAUUCUUUAAAGGUACUAUAUUUAUCACGAUUUCUAUCUAAACACAAAGGGAUCUUCGGUGGGAAUCGAAAUAAUUUUAAUUUUUCGCUGUGCAUGUAUAAGUAGAUUCCCAACAGUUUGAGCCCCAUUUUGGGGGGGAAAAUGAAUUUUGAAUUAGUGUAUUGAUGGAAAAUGUGUGGUUAAAAAAUAAGGAAAAAUUUUGAAUUUACGUGUAAUAUUAUUUUAUUGAAAAAUAUGUGAUUGAAAUGGUGUCAAAAUACUGUUUAAAAAUGUAUUUUUUGAAAAGAAUGAGACUCAAACAAGGGUUAAAGUAGGACUCUUUAUGUCGAAGAAAAGUAUUAUUCCAAUUAAUUGCACAUAAGAUCCAUAUUAACAUCCUUAUCUCCACCAAAUUUGUCGAUGAAUAUCUUGACCUUUAACAACCCAACAAUUAGGGUGCAUUUGAUUGCAAGCAUGGAAAGAAAAUAAAUUCUAAGCAAUUCAAUUGUGUAGAACUUAUUUGGAUGUUAAUUAUCAAUUAAAUGUAUUUGAUUUAUUUAUUUUUCAAUUGAGAAAUAUUAUACUUGUCCGUUUUUUAUUGAUGGAUGGAUGAUAGAGAGAAAGAGAAAGUGAAUUCCCUAAAAAAUAAAAUAUCAUUUCUCUUAAAGAAAAUAUUUUUCUUGAUUUUGAGAAAAAUACGGUCACGUGAUCAAAAGUAGGAAAAUGUUUUCUAUGACAAAUACGUUAAUCAGUAGGAAUUUAGGUGUUUUUCAUAGAAAAUAUUGACAAUCUAAUGUACCCUUAGAAUCAUAAAAAGACCACUUCUCUUGUAAAAUUUGCCUUCUAGCCUUUUGUAAUAAAAAUAAAUAAAUUAAUAUUUAUUACUAUAAGCUUCGAAGAUAUUAGAAUCUAUACAUUUAUCAAAUUUCAAUAAAUCCCCAAGUUCAAAAUUGGCUUCUAUUUUGAAAGAAUUAUUAAUAUAUUUAUCAAAAACUUAACGUUAAUACAAAUGAAAUGGAUACUAUUGUGGUUCUAUCCAAUGUCUAAAAUAGAAAGUAUAUGUCACCAUACCACUGCCUAAACAAGCCAAUCUCAUUACAAACAGUGCAAGCACAGAACCAAAGAAUUCAUAAUUUAUUCUCUGUUAUUCUAUCCUCGACUUCCCUCCGACCGAGAUGGAUGGGGCACCGCUUCUUGUUCGGAACUCAGAUGAGUUGCAAGUUAUCGGAGACGAAGGAGAUUAUCUCCCGAUACGAGGGCUGAAACCAUGGUGGAAAGUUUUCUGCAUAGAGACUGUAAAGCUAUGGAAAAUCGGCGGCCCAAUAGCCUUUCAAAUCCUUUGUCAGUUCGGAAAUGUCUCUGUCACCACCAUGUUUGUCGGCCACAUCGGAGAUAUCGAACUCUCCGCCUUCUCUAUUGCUCUGUCCGUUGUCAGCACCUUCGCGUUUGGUCUCCUGGUUAGCCCCUCAACCCAUAUAUAAACAUGUAGAUAAGACGUACACUUAAUGAGAUUGCAACUUUUUUUCUUGAUGGAAUUUUUGUUAUUAGUAUCAUUUAGUUAUCAAUAUUGCGAUGAUAACAAAGGAUACAAAUCAAUGAGGUUUGAUUAUUGCAAAGGGAUUGGUGACGGUGCUGCUGUCAAAAGUUAGAAAAAUAAGUAAGUUAACAAGUAAAUCAAAUAUGCAUGGACAAAAAAAAAGAAGUUACUUUAACUGUUAGCAAAUCAUACCGCAUCUGGAUGAAUCUUUUUCUUCUUAUCGUUUUUAUUUUAUUUAUUGUUGGAUCACUUAAUGACUUUAUUCUUCAUUACUUUUUCCAUAAAAGUGGAAUCUUGUUUUAAAUUUAAUAUUUGGUUAUUUACAGAUUACAGUGAUUAAGAUUUUAUUAAGAUUAUAGCUUCUCCUUCUAUUCUAUCAUAAUAUAUGAGGCUGUUUACCGUUCUUGUUUUUGUUCCUGUUUACCAUAAGAUCUAUCAUCUAUGCUCUGAUAGGGUUCUAUAUUAAAAGAUCAAUUUAUUAAAAAAAGUAGUCCAAACUCUUAUAAAUUGAUUUUAAUUUUCAUCUUUAAUCAAUGUGGGAUAUAGCAUUUGCCUGAUCUUGAAAUUUGAGGCAAAAAUUAGCCAAGCCUAAUAAGAAUUUUACAAUAUUUCUAGCUCGGUAUGGGGAAUGCCCUUGAGACGCUGUGUGGUCAGGCAUUUGGUGCUUUAUGACUUCAAUUGAAAUCUAGGUGAGUGUGUUUUGUAAACAUUUUUUCUGGAAACUUACAUCCAACUGCCUAAUUUCUUUCUAUGCCAGUGUUCGUGUCUCAAAUGAGCUUGGCUUAGGACAUCCAAGAGCAACAAAAUAUUCUGUCUAUGUCACAGUCUUUCAAUCACUCUUGAUUGGGAUUUUGUGCAUGAUUAUUGUCCUAGCAACGAGAAAUCAUUUUGGAAUUAUUUUUACACAUAGCGAAACUAUGCAACGUGCCGUUGCUCACCUUUCUGUACUCCUUGGAGUUACAAUGCUUCUCAAUAGUGUCCAACCCGUGAUAUCAGGUAUUAUUCAAUUAUUAAUGAAUGUCAUUCAACAGUAUAUACAGACGAUGUUCCCUUGCUCUGCCGUCUUAAUUUUUUUCCUAGACAUUUUGCAGGUGUUGCCAUUGGAGGUGGGUGGCAAGCUCUAGUAGCCUA
rnacentral:lncRNA from 1 species